rnacentral:lncRNA from 1 species
CUUCAGCGGGAACCGCCGCUUCGAGAUUUCUUCAUCAAUUUGUAAGUAUAAAAACAUUAUAUGAAUAAACAAAAACAUAUUAAGUAGAUGUAAUUUUGUGGUAUUAAAUGAUAUUUCACUACAAAAACAUCAUAAGAGACGCUUAUAAACAUCAUAAUAAGGGAUUAUAAGUAAGGAUGCCAGAUGCUGCCCAUGAUGCUGAGACCGAGGUGGUAUGACCCGUCAUGUUGCAUUGAAAUUAUUCAUUUUUAUUGCAUUUACUUGUACAAAAUUAUUUAAUUUCAAGUUUUAGAUAAUAUUUACGUUUGCAGAUGAAAUUAGAGCGUCUUUUGUUGUGUAUUUCACGUGUAAUAUAACAUAUAAACCAGCCCUUUUCAGUAAACAAAAUGGCGACUUCCAUGGAGAAUGGCCUUGUAUUUUUUUCAGCUAAAGUUGCAUUUUUGGUGUUAAAAGACGAUCUAGGUUGAAUGAGUUCCUUGCCUGUUUUAUAUUUACGUUUGCAUAGCAAGUUUCAACUCUAUUUGUUAAGUGGUUAGUCAAAUAUUGAAGUUAUUUCACCCCCUCCAUCUUUUUUGUCAAUUAUUUACCAAUCAGAGCAGGGAUGCUAUUUUGCAGCUAUAUUGUUGAAUAUAGGCUACACAAUCACAUAUUGCAUUAUUUUUUCCCAUUUUUAGACCUUUUUACACUUGCAUAGCAAAUUUCAGCUUCUUAUGUUGAGUAUUUGAUUAGAUAUUGAGCUACAAAAUGAACAAUUGUUUAACAGCUCUGUUUUGUUUCAUAAUAUCUACCUAUCAGAGCAGAGCUGCUAGUUUGUAGGUAUAAGGUCAAUGCACAUUGCAUAAAAAUGCAUAAAAGUUAUUUUUGUUCCUUACAUUAGAUAUAUUUAGACUUGCAGAGAAAAAAUGAGCUUCCUAUUUUGGAAAAUGAAAUAGAUAUUGAGCCUUUCUUUGCUAAUAUUAAUUUUCAUUUUUUUCGUUCUCAAAAUAUCUGAACCGGGGCAAUGCAGUUAAUUAGCAGCUCCAGAGUCAAUAUAGGAAUAGUAAACAAAAUGUACUUUAAUGGUCUUUUGUUCCUUACAUGCUUUUGAGCUUACUGGGCAAAAUUAAGCCUCCUAUCUGGCAUAAAACAUAGAUAGACCGUUGGUUUUCCCAUUUGAAUGGUUUUACACUGGUAAAUUUGGGGCCCUUUAUAGCUUGUUGUUCAGUGUGAGCCAAGGCUCCAUGUUGAAGGCUGUACAUUGACCUAUUAUGGUUUACCUUUAUAAAUUGUUAAUUGGAUUUCACACCACAUCUUUCUAUAUCUAUAUUUUUUUAUUUGUCUUAUACUUCUGUCUGAGUUAUCAGGGGUCCCUCAUCAUGCUCAUGCAAUAUCAAAAAUGAUAAAAAAAGAAUAAUCGUGUUAAGAAACAAUAAUUAGUGCGGUCGGGGUUGCAUAAUAGGUUUUAGCACGCAGCUUCUCUGGAUUGUCAAGGUCAACAUCCAGUGUUAUAAAGUGAUACAGUCCUGAACUGGAAUUAUCAAUGUUUAAAACAACAUCUACAGACUCAACAUUCAUAUGCAAUACUCACACACUUCAGAAACAGGUGAUCACAAUAUUAGUACAUCAAUUCCCAAGUAUCAAUGUACAUUUUUUCCCCACAGCACUUGCUAAAAUCAAUUUGAAACAAGCAUUUGGUUUACUUAUCAAAGUUAACACACUUUGACACACUGAAUUUGUUAUAAAAUAUGACUUGGUAUGAAAUAUAUAUUAUUCCAGGUUGACAUAUACAUGUUUUGGUCAUUGUUGGUGUUUGUAUUCUUUAAUCGAAUGAUUUUAGUGAAAUAAUCAAUAAAUCUUAACGCCAGGUCACAAUGUACAACUUGCAAAAAUUACAAUUUAAAUAAUAUAAAUAGUUUUUUUAUCGCCCAUAUUAAUUUUUGGUAUAACGUUGUCUGUUGUCAACAUGUCGGACACUAGCUCAAAAACAGUUUAAUCAAUAUUUAGAUUAUACUUUGGUGAAUUGUUUAUAUCUAUUGACUAGAGCUCCAUUUUGGGUUUUUUUAACAAAUUUCAUAUUAUAUGUUUCCUAGUUUUUUUUUUUUUUUCUUCUGUUUAUUAAUUUCUGUCCUCAUUACUUUAUAGAAUGCCUAAGAGGAAGUAAAGGUAGAAUGUGCCAUAUCACAGGAAAAGACGUGGAACUGGCAAACCAAAAUUAGACAAAGGGCAAACUGAAAUACAUGCACUUACGCCAGACAUCGCACAUGAUGAAGAUCUUUUGUCAUCUGAAACAGAAGAGCUUACAUGCACCAGUGUGGAUUCAGUCUCUUUGGAUCAUUCAUAUUUGUCUGAUAACCAGACAGUGGCAGAACUUUGUUUAGAUGAAGAAACAGCUUGAUGUUAAUCAACAUAUUAAACUUGAAUGCAAAAAAGAAUGUGUAAUAUCAGAUCUAGAAGACCCUUACAAGGCAUUGAAAAAGACAGUUUGUACUAGUCCAACUUUUCCAUAUGUAUAUAAUUCUGCUUCCACUGACCACUUGCAAAUUAUAGAACAUUAUCCAUCAUCUAAAAGUGUG